UAGGAUAAAGCUUUAUAAGCAUUUUAUUUACAUUAAAAAGAGAACUAUUUUUAAUAGUUAUUCUAA
rnacentral:tRNA from 1 species